GCCGGUUUAGCUCAGUUGGUAGAGCAGCGGUUUUGUAAACCGAAGGUCGCGGGUUCGAACCCUGCAACCGGCACCA
rnacentral:tRNA from 1 species